GGUCGGCCGCUCCCGGGCGGCGGGCUCGGGAAGGCGGUCGAGAGGGCGCCGUUGUUCAAGGGAAAGCGGCGGGGAGCGGUGUGGGGCCGCUGGGGGCACUGCGGGCAGCCGAGGCCGCGGCUGGAGUCGGGGCUGUGCCGCCCGGGAGGGAGGGCCGGGAGCCGAGCCCGCGCUGCAGGCUGAGGGUGAGGGAGGCGGCGGCGUUUCCCUCAGGCAGCGCCGUCCUGAGGCCCUCCAACGCUGACAACGCCUCUGGAAUUAAUCUCUCCCUUUUUGUAGAAAGCGCUGGGUAUUGCUUUUGACUUUUAGCAAUGUGUCUAGAAAUGAGUGAGAUAGAGAAUGUCUGACCUAGCCGGUUUCUGCAGCCUCUCCAGGGGGUGUUCUCAAGCGAAGUAUCACCCCCGAGGUAUUUAUCUGGGGCAAGGCACGAUAAUCUCACGGUUUAAAGAGCAUCUCCUAGGCUCAGCCUUACCGAGGUGUGGGAGCACACAAAGGCCUUUGCAGCUUCUGAAGGCAGCAGACUGAGCAGUCCCUGGCACCUCUGGGAUGUUGUUGAGUAUCUUCAUAUUUACUGUUUUAUAUUGUGCCUGCUGAAAUAGGUUCCUUGUGUGACUAUACACACUUAAAGCAUCAUUUUAAAAAGUGGUUCAUUGUUUCCUGAUUCAUUUUAACAAGCUAUUUCAGGUAGCGAACACGAGUUCCAGGAUGCGUAAAAUUAACAUUUUGUGGUUUUCUCACAGAUACGUCUAAAAAUAUAGGAAUGUUUUUUAUGUCACUGUGUGCCUAACUAAAUACUUUAUGAUCUAUUUCCACUGGACAUUUUAGACCCCAACUCUUACUCAGAUCUCAGGAUAAUCUAACCAGAAUUCCAUACAAGAAAAAACAAAGACAUUAGCACGUCUGAGCUAGAGUGAAAAUUAGGUGUCAAGUCCAGAAAAAAAAAUGAUAUUUUCAAGAGGAAAUAUGAUCAGAAAAUGCAGGUUUUAUUGAAAUUGGGGACCAUUAUAUACCUUUAUCUGUGAAUUGUUCAUACAUACACAAUACAGUUACCAAGGAUUUUGGUAGGCUUCCAAAAGAUCCCAGAAGUAAUACAGGAAAUCACUGUAUAUUUGCUUAACAUUGCAAGACUUGCAAAUCACCUCUGUGUUUCAUAAAUCUUAACCAAUCUUUAUUAGAUUUGCCUCGAUUUGAGAACUUUUCCUUGAUCCUCAUGUUCAGCAGGCACUCACAGUUGUAGAGUGCUCAAGGCUAUAAACAAACCAGGCUACUACAUGUAUAAGCAUACUUAUUGGCCAGAAGUGAGGUGCAUGCUUCCUACCUUUGUUAAACUGCAGCAUAUUGUCUAAAUAGCUCAAAUAUUUUUGUAUGCAGUUGUUAGGGGUGGCAUUACACGCUUGGAAAUUGGUCAGGUAUUUGGUGAAGCGUGAGGAGUAUACAGCCUAAUUCAGGGAAAUACUCAAAGCAGAAUUUCCUGAUGCAAUCCUUGCCUUGUUCUUUGCACUCUCAGCAUUUGCAUAAAUUGAUUGAACCACUCCUGCAACAGCAAAUCACCACUGCAAGGAUGAGCAAUAGCUCUCUGCAUUAGUCCUGCAUGGUUUGUAAAUACCAGUAUCAGGAGAAUGUGCCCGUCAGGGAAUUGUGGAGAGGUGUAUAGGACCUCUUCAGGAUAGCUGUAGUGAGCUUUUAAAUUAUCUUGGGUAAUCUAAUUUAGAGGUAAUCUUGCUUGUGGCUCCACUGCAGACAAGUUAGAUGAGCCAGGAGUAAAACUGAGCAUAAUAAUUCUGGCUGUGAUUUUUUUUUUUCCCCAUCUGAGGCAGUCUUCAUAGUGUGGAGGCAUGACAAGAAAACAGUACAGCUAAAUGCAAAGUUACUCAUUUAACACAUCCCACUUGAGGACUCCACUAGACAGCAUUGGCCAAAAAAGUUAUCUGUCAGAGCCAGGCAAUGGAGUAUUAAUCAACUCAAAUAUGAGGAGCUACAAUUGUAAUGUAGUGACCAAGAAAACAAAUGCUUUCCUUGAACUUCCUGGCAAGAGAAAAUACUCCUUUUCUCCCCUGCGCCUCAAGAAAAUCAUCUGUUUACAGAAAGUCACCCUGUUUCAAAGAUGGCCACAAUAUUUUACUGGUUGAUUACUUAUUUUAGUUACCUUGGAUCAUCUUUCUUCUGCAGGUGACCUUCUACAGGACUUUAAUUGUUUUCAGAUAAGCACGGUCAAUAAAAUAAUAAAAUAUGGAAAUACCAGACCUUCUAUUUUUAUAUUCCUAUAUGCAAAUAUUCCAACGCCAGUUGAUUGAGAAUGACACCAAGCCAAAGUUUUGGCUAUACUUUUAUUUACUUCACGUACUAUGAACAUAUACAUUACAUGCUACAAAAAAAAAAAUAAAAAAAGACUUUAACUGUCAAGAAAGUGGAUAGUGUUAUAAUACAAUGGCACAUGUUCAUAUUUUUCUUCAAACUGGUUUGGUUAGAAUCCUUCCCCAAAACCAUUAACAAAAACGAAGUGUUUUAAUCUUAAGAUGAUUAGAAAUAUUUGCAUUAUUAACAAAUACAAUUCAAACAGAUUAACAAGAUUUAACCAUGUCAAAUAUUAGUAAAAAGGCUGGGGUUUACCAAAAUGAAAUAUAUAUUAAAAAACCAUAGCAGCCAGUUGUACUUUUAGUGUGAUAUAACGUGUAAAUGCACCAGAAGAACACAGUGUAAUUGAGCAUUCUGCUUUCACGGUGUAUUUCUAGAAAUGAUUAUUCUAGUUCUAACACCUGCCUAUGCACAAUAGACCAAAACCACAGCCAAAUAGAGACAAAAGAUUGUGACCAACGUUCUUAGCAAUGAUUUUUUUUUGCACGCAUUGGUAAGAAGGGAGAGAACAAAUAGAAGGAUAAACAAAGGCCACAAGAGGAUUUAAUCUACAUGUUCAUGAACAUGUGUGCUACCCUAUUUUCCUUUAAAAGAGCUCGAUAAGUUGAAAUGUCUAUUUUGCACAAAUGCAAACAUUAAUUUCUAUCACCUAUGAAACAAAAUCACAUUUCAGCUUAAACUGAAGAGGGGAAAACAGUUGUGUUAAUGUAUCUGUUGACUAAGAAAAACUGCUUGACAAGAACUUCAGAUUCUAGUGCAACAGCAGCUAUUAAGACUCCUCUAGUUUCUUUUUUUUUGCUCUUUCAAAGUGUACAAAUAUUUGCAAUUUAUACAGUCUUCACAAAAACACACCUACAAACUCUGCAGUGUAUUUGCUAGUUGACGAUUCAAUUUAAGCCAUAUUAAAAAGGCAGUAUUUGCAUAAUAAAAUUCCUUUCAGAAAAAAAGAAGUUCUUUUGGUAUGUUAAAAUAAUUGCUGAUUGGAAAGGUACAAAUGUAUGGGCUUUCGUUAAUUGGAAUUGGAAAAAAAAAA